rnacentral:rRNA from 1 species
UACGUAGGGGGCGAGCGUUGUCCGGAUUUAUUGGGCGUAAAGAGCGUGUAGGCGGCUUGGUAGGUCUGCUGUGAAAACUCGGGGCUCAACCCCGAGACGUCGGUGGAAACCACCUGGCUAGAGUCCGGAAGAGGAGAGUGGAAUUCCUGGUGUAGCGGUGAAUGCGCAGAUAUCAGGAAGAAUAUCCGUGGCGAAGGCGGCUCUCUGGUACGGCACUGACGCUGAGACGCGAAAGCGUGGGGAGCGAACAGG